CGUAGGGUGCGAGCGUUAAUCGGAAUUACUGGGCGUAAAGCGUGCGCAGGCGGUUUUGUAAGACAGGCGUGAAAUCCCCGGGCUCAACCUGGGAACUGCGUUUGUGACUGCAAGGCUAGAGUAUGGCAGAGGGGGGUGGAAUUCCACGUGUAGCAGUGAAAUGCGUAGAGAUGUGGAGGAACACCGAUGGCGAAGGCAGCCCCCUGGGCCAAUACUGACGCUCAUGCACGAAAGCGUGGGUAGCAAACAGGAUUAGAUACCCUGGUAGUCCACGCCCUAAACGAUGUCAACUAGGUGUUGGGUGGGUAAAACCAUUUAGUACCGGAGCUAACGCGUGAAGUUGACCGCCUGGGGGAGUACGGCCGCAAGGUU
rnacentral:rRNA from 1 species